rnacentral:hammerhead_ribozyme from 1 species
ACCAGCUGACGACUCCCAAAUAGGACGAAAUGCGCAUCCUGGAU